CUCCGAUGCCUGUGGCGUGCAUGAUAAGCUCUGGCUUGCAGAUAGGCCUGUAUCAGUGCAGCUUGAUUGGUGCAGGAUCACCUUGGAAUCCCGCUUCUGCUCUGACUGUACUGACGCUUCCAGAGAGGAACGACUAAGGAGCAGAGGCCACCUCGGAUGUGGCUGGCACCAUCUCACAGGGCCCUGGGCUGACUGCAAAGGAGAAAGGCUCCUGUCUAGGAUGAGAGGAAGCAGCUGAAAGGAGAGGUGCACCCAUGUCCUCUGGGAUCAAAACCUGCCAACAUCUCUCCUCCUCAGCUUAGCCCGGAGUCAGGUGCCCUGGACUCUAAUGUGAAACCAGCCUACCUCUGAGCAUCUGAAAAGGAGACUCCUCGCCCUCCCACAGCAGGUUCCAGCCUGUGUACAACCAGGAACACAUAGCUCCCUCCCCUGAAGGAAUCAGACUUCUCCAUCAGGACUGCUCAAAGCCCAUGGAUAUUCUAAGAGAGGAAGAGAUGGCUCCAUGGGUAAAAAUAAUGGAAACGCAAGCAGGAGGUCCUGGGUUUGGAUCCCCAACUGUCAAGCAAAAGCCAAGCAUAACAACAUGUCUGCAAUGCCAGCACUGGUCACCCUGGAGACAAGCGAAUGUCAGGGCUCACUGGCCAGCCUAGCUGAAAUGUGAGCUCCAGGCUCUGAGAGAGCCUGCUGCAAAACAUAAGGAAAAGAUGGCUCCACUGCUAAAGUCACUCGCAGUUGUUGCAGAGGGCCUGAGUUCUCUUUCCAGUGCCCACAUUAAGGAAGAUCACAGUCGCAUCCAACUCAGGCUCCAGGACCCAAUGUCCUUGUCUCAAUUUCACAGGUAACCUCACUCACUUGCAUACAAGCACAUAUACACAUAGUUCUAAAAAAAUAGCAAAAAUAAAUCUUAAAACAAAAAUAAGGUAGAGUACUAAGUGAUACUUAAAGUCAACUUCUGACCAAGUGUGUCUGCACCUGAGUGCACACACAUACAGUGCACAUACACUGCACAUAGACCAGCA
rnacentral:lncRNA from 1 species